GUGUAACGUAGAUUUUCAACACCGCCGUUAAGACGAAUAGGAGCCGCAAGUAGCUUUCAAAAACUGCCGCCGAAAUAGCCGACUUGCACAGUUCGCAAGGAUAGGUUAACGGCAACGGUACUGCCUGGCUCACAGUAAAGCGUCAGCCGUUGCCAUAGUGAUGAGACGCGGUAGAUCAGCUGAUCGCGAGUGAAGCUCUGACAGCUCUAUAGAGAUAGAUAAUCAGUUCGAGUCGGCUUCAACCGGCGUUAUCAUACUCGACUGAAAUCCACCCUAAAAGGCCUCAAUCUCACGAUUUAUCCCACGUAAACAAACAACAAGCAAAAACCAACCACAAAAUGGAGUCAAAACUUCGUUGUACGGGUCACUUUCAGAAGUAGACCUGAACGCUUUCACCCCAGCCAACACUUGAAAAUAUUGGAUUCACGAAACAGGCUGGGAUCUCUGCAAUCAGCUAGUGCUUCCAUCAAACCCUGGUUUUCGUUUUUUUUUUACGAAUCUUCUAGGAUCAACAUACCAAGAGACGUAUGUCGCGUCAUGCGCCGAUAAAGCUUCGGAAGGGUGUACAAUCACGAGUAUCAUGGGGAAGCUGGUGACCCUUCGUUACCAUCCAAAGCAAGGACGACCAUAAGAGAGAGAAAAACCUUUCAAGGACACCUUCUGAUAACUAAAGUUAUGAUUGCAGCUGCUACAAACCGAUGCUGGCCGAAGGCAGAAUUGCUACGUGGCUUGCACAAGCCCAAUCCAAGUUGGACAAAAUGAAUCAGCCAUCAACACCAGCUUCCCCAGUUACAACUACAAUCAACAAUAACUGUGAAGAUGAACCUCACGAAGGGGAUAGGCCUAUACUUGGAUAGAUCAGAAUAUAGUAGCGACAAAAAUUUUCAUAAAACUUGUCUACUUGUUUAAUUUACUCUCAUCAUAAUCAAUAAAUUAGUAAUUGAUUAUAAUCACGGGUUUUAAUCG